rnacentral:rRNA from 1 species
CGUGCGGUUUAAUUGGAUUCAACACCGGAAAACUCACCAAGGGCGACCAUUACAUGAAAGCCAGGCUAAUGACCUUGCUAGAUUUUUGGAGAGGUGGUGCAUGGCCGUCGUCAGUUCGUACCGUAAGGCGUUCUCUUAAGUGAGAUAACGAACGAGACCCUCACUGAUAAUUGCUAAUCUAUUCUCCGGAGUAGAUGCACAUUAUUGGGACCGCUGACGCUAAGUCAGAGGAAGGAGAGGUCAACGGUAGGUCAGUAUGCCCCGAAUCUCUUGGGCUACACGCGCGCUACAAAGGGCGGGACAAUGGGCUCCGACGCCGAGAGGCGAAGGUAAUCUCGAAACCCGUCCAUAGUUCGGACUGAGGGUUGUAACUCACCCUCACGAAGCUGGAUUCCGUAGUAAUCGCGAAUCAACAACUCGCGGUGAAUAUGCCCCUGCUCCUUGCACACACCGCCCGUCAAACCAUCCGAGUUGGGUUUCAGUGAGGUGGCCUUUAAUUGGGGUCUUCAAACUGAGAUUUAGCAAGGAAGGUUAAGUCGUAACAAGGUAUCUGUAGGGGAACCUGCAGAUG